GACGAACGCUGGCGGCGUGCCUAAUACAUGCAAGUCGUGCGAGACCUUCGGGUCUAGCGGCGGACGGGUGAGUAACACGUGGGUAACCUGCCUGAUCGACUGGGAUAACGCUUGGAAACGAGUGCUAAUACCGGAUAAUCUCUUGGAUCGCAUGGUUCGAGAGUAAAAGGAGCUUUUGCUUCACGAUCAGAUGGACCCGCGGCGCAUUAGCUAGUUGGUGAGGUAACGGCUCACCAAGGCGACGAUGCGUAGCCGACCUGAGAGGGUGACCGGCCACACUGGGACUGAGACACGGCCCAGACUCCUACGGGAGGCAGCAGUAGGGAAUCUUCCGCAAUGGGCGCAAGCCUGACGGAGCAACGCCGCGUGAGUGAUGAAGGC
rnacentral:rRNA from 1 species